rnacentral:rRNA from 1 species
GAUGAACGCUGGCGGCGUGCUUAACACAUGCAAGUCGAACGGAAAGGCCAGUGCUUGCCCUGGUACUCGAGUGGCGAACGGGUGAGUAACACGUGGGUGAUCUGCCCCGCACUUCGGGAUAGCCUGGGAAACUGGGUCUAAUACCGGAUAGGACAAUGGUUUGGAUGCCGUUGUGGAAAGUUUUUUCGGUGUGGGAUGAGCUCGCGGCCUAUCAGCUUGUUGGUGGGGUAAUGGCCUACCAAGGCGUCGACGGGUAGCCGGCCUGAGAGGGUGUACGGCCACAUUGGGACUGAGAUACGGCCCAGACUCCUACGGGAGGCAGCAGUGGGGAAUAUUGCACAAUGGGCGCAAGCCUGAUGCAGCGACGCCGCGUGGGGGAUGACGGCCUUCGGGUUGUAAACUCCUUUCGCUAGGGACGAAGCGUAUUUGUGACGGUACCUGGAGAAGAAGCACCGGCUAACUACGUG